CAACCAGCCUUCAGGGAUAAAGGAGUCACAAAAGAGUGCCUCUAGGCAUGGGGCUGGAUUGGCAGUUGCAAAUGAUAUAAUAAUGGCUACUCUCCCUGCUGUGCCCAGACCCGAGCUACACCAGUGAAGAACGAGGACUGACUCCAGCACAAACCCAGCUCUGAGCUCACCACGAGGGAAAAGACUCACUCUCUCAGUACUCUGACUCAGUGUUGGAAGAAAAGCAUGCUGUGGGAAGAGGGAGAGAAGAAGGCCCAGAAGAGGUUCGCUGACCUCCACUGGCAACAGCUUGGGCAGACCCCCCCCGGAGGAGGGAACUUUGGCCACACAUAACAAUAACAGCCACCGGAAGGCACCAACAAUGACUGACCGCUUGUUCUGUGCCAGGCACCCUUUAGGUCCUUCUCAUAAAUAUCACCUCAUUUAAUAACUCUGUCAGGCAGGCAGUGUCGUUACCUGCAUCACUAGGUGAGGACACGAAGCCAGAGCCAAGGCAAAGCAGUAACCGUCAAAGCAGAGAUUCCAUCCCACGAGGAUCUGAAUUCAUCUGCCUCCUCAGAGGUGAGCCUGGGACAAACAGGGAGAGGAAGUGGGUGUCCCAGGAGGAGGCAGGAAGGGAGCCACCUCAGCAGGGGAGGAAGAGGGGGAGGCCUCCCUGCUUCCAGGAGCACAAGUAAAGGAACCAUUGAGACUACUGGCCCCAGUGUCCGAGUAUAAGCAUGGUGUGGGGGCGAGGACAAAGACCUGUUUCCCCAACAACACUAGCCAAGACUUACCACGGUCAAGGCAGGGGCUAGGCUUUUGCCAACAUUAGCUCAUUUUCAUUUUCAUCAAAACACUGUAAUAAUUAAGGAUCACAUACAAUAAUUGGGACUCAUGUGUCAAGCAUUGGUCUAGAUGCUUCUAUAUGUUUAAAUUCAUCCGAUCCAUACAACUCUAUAUGAUAAGUAUUUAUUAUUAUUAUUAUUAUUAUUAUUAUAUCCGUUUGACAAGAGGGAAAACUGAGGCAUGGAGCAAUUAAGUACUUGUCACCAGGCAACGCGGGUGAUAAACGUAUCAUAUAAACUCAAGCAGUCUGGCCCCGUUUUCCCUCUAAGGUAGCCAUCACUGUCCACAUUAGAGAAACAAAGAGAUGGAGGCCCAGCAAGAGGGCAGGAAUCAUCCCAUCUUUUUGGUGGAAAACCAACAUUUGAAACCCAACAUCCAGGCUCUUCACCAGGUGGUAACGGCAACCCCAUCCAGCCACUUACAGAAGGCUGUCCUCAGGCCACUUGCCCCAUGCCUGAGCGCCAUCACCUGAAAAAAUGAGGAAGUGCCACCUGGACGUUUCCAGGGCCCUAGUGGGAGCUCCCAGGACAGAGGGGCAGUUUUAACACCAUGGUGGCCAACACCUGAGAAGAAGGCUAACAGCUUUGGCAGGGAAACCACAGCCUAACCCUCAACAGCCACUCAUUUGCAUGAGGACAAUUUGGGGUUCCUGCCACCACUCCUUUUCCACCUUUGUGGUACAGUCUCCAACAUGACCACCACCAACAAUUUCUCCCACCUCUACACAUCGCUCCUCCACUCAUGCAGAGUCUGUUUUCCCUCCCCUCAAAUGUGAUCAGGCCUCGUAAUUUACUUUGCCCAAAUGAAUGUGGUAGAGAUAAUGCCCUGGCACUUCUGAGCCUGGCUCCAAGAGUUUGGGAAGCUUUCUUUUCCUGCCUCUUGGAAUCCAGCUGUCAGACUGAAGAAAACCUCCGACUAGACGGCAGAGAUGAGAGACCACGGGGAACGGGACCUGAGGACGAGACACCGUCAGGUUGGAUUCAGCGCUCUUUCCGCACCUUUCUAUCCUGCUUCUCAGUGAAAUCUGCCCUUCUGCUUCCAGUGAGAGCUAAGUCACCUGCAUGCUCCCCUCAGGACCUGUAUGUCACAGAAGGCCCUUGCACAUCCCCUAGGAUCCAGCAGGCAAGAAUCCCUGAGGUUCAAAUGUCAGGCUGCCCUGAAUCACACGCAGGGUGGAGACUGCCGAGAUGACUCAGGUUGAGGUGAACUUACAAAUGCAUGUGCCAGAAACCAGGCUCACACCCCAGGUGUGUUAAGUAGGAUCUGAAGCGUCAAAGCCUUUGUGCUGCAGCUGGGGCUGUGAGUCCUUCCCACCUUGCCACCCCAGUGUCCACCAUCCCGUGUGCAUCUGAUGGAACACUCCAUUCAUGGCAGAUGGCGCCCGGGCUCUCCGCAGCUGGCAUGACUCUCCUAUCCGAGUGCAAAGCCAGGACGACGGGAAGAUUGCAGGCUCAUUUGCAGCCUGGCUUCCAGCCACGUCCCCACAAUGACACAACUGCCUCCUCCGACGAGCACUUUCCAAUCUCCAACUGAGAUCUGUUGGAUGAGAAGCCAGUUUCCACCACAGCCAAGCUCAGGCAGCUGUGGGUGGGGGUGUGGAUGUAGCUCUCUUCCACCCCGAGAUCUGGGAAGAGAGCUCAUCUCCUUACCAGCCAGAAGGCCGGCCAAGCCAAACAGGGCUUCUGCUCAGGGCCUUGAGGAACCAAGUGGGAAACAGCCCAACCGCCAGGACUGUGACAGCCAAGGUCAGCAGAGAAGCAUGCUCAUCUACCCCUGCUGAUGGAAUGGUCCCAAAGGGAAAGAUUUAACUUGUUUUAGGAACUAGUCAGAGCCUGGCUUGGGCACGCUGCCAGGGUGUUACGAGAACAAUCUCUGGGAAACGGGGAAUGGAGUUUUUGCCAAGCAGAUUGCAGCUGUGGAGCCUGAGAUUCAGUGGCCCCUGAUAUACAGCCAGCCCCUGAUUCCUGGGGACCUCCCUGACCACUGCCAAAGCCACUGGCAGUGA
rnacentral:lncRNA from 1 species